GGUUAAGCGACUAAGCGUACACGGUGGAUGCCCUGGCAGUCAGAGGCGAUGAAGGACGUGCUAAUCUGCGAUAAGCGCCGGUAAGGUGAUAUGAACCGUUAUAACCGGCGAUUUCCGAAUGGGGAAACCCAGUGUGAUUCGUCACACUAUCAUUAACUGAAUCCAUAGGUUAAUGAGGCGAACCGGGGGAACUGAAACAUCUAAGUACCCCGAGGAAAAGAAAUCAACCGAGAUUCCCCCAGUAGCGGCGAGCGAACGGGGAGGAGCCCAGAGCCUGAAUCAGCAUGUGUGUUAGUGGAAGCGUCUGGAAAGGCGCGCGAUACAGGGUGACAGCCCCGUACACAAAAGCGCAUGUGCUGUGAGCUCGAUGAGUAGGGCGGGACACGUGGUAUCCUGUCUGAAUAUGGGGGGACCAUCCUCCAAGGCUAAAUACUCCUGACUGACCGAUAGUGAACCAGUACCGUGAGGGAAAGGCGAAAAGAACCCCGGCGAGGGGAGUGAAAAAGAACCUGAAACCGUGUACGUACAAGCAGUGGGAGCACCCUUCGGGGUGUGACUGCGUACCUUUUGUAUAAUGGGUCAGCGACUUAUAUUCUGUAGCAAGGUUAACCGAAUAGGGGAGCCGGAGGGAAACCGAGUCUUAACCGGGCGUUAAGUUGCAGGGUAUAGACCCGAAACCCGGUGAUCUAGCCAUGGGCAGGUUGAAGGUUGGGUAACACUAACUGGAGGACCGAACCGACUAAUGUUGAAAAAUUAGCGGAUGACCUGUGGCUGGGGGUGAAAGGCCAAUCAAACCGGGAGAUAGCUGGUUCUCCCCGAAAGCUAUUUAGGUAGCGCCUCGUGAAUUCAUCUCCGGGGGUAGAGCACUGUUUCGGCUAGGGGGCCAUCCCGGCUUACCAACCCGAUGCAAACUGCGAAUACCGGAGAAUGUUAUCACGGGAGACACACGGCGGGUGCUAACGUCCGUCGUGAAGAGGGAAACAACCCAGACCGCCAGCUAAGGUCCCAAAGUCAUGGUUAAGUGGGAAACGAUGUGGGAAGGCCCAGACAGCCAGGAUGUUGGCUUAGAAGCAGCCAUCAUUUAAAGAAAGCGUAAUAGCUCACUGGUCGAGUCGGCCUGCGCGGAAGAUGUAACGGGGCUAAACCAUGCACCGAAGCUGCGGCAGCGACACUGUGUGUUGUUGGGUAGGGGAGCGUUCUGUAAGCCUGUGAAGGUGGCCUGUGAGGGUUGCUGGAGGUAUCAGAAGUGCGAAUGCUGACAUAAGUAACGAUAAAGCGGGUGAAAAGCCCGCUCGCCGGAAGACCAAGGGUUCCUGUCCAACGUUAAUCGGGGCAGGGUGAGUCGACCCCUAAGGCGAGGCCGAAAGGCGUAGUCGAUGGGAAACGGGUUAAUAUUCCCGUACUUGGUGUUACUGCGAAGGGGGACGGAGAAGGCUAUGUUGGCCGGGCGACGGUUGUCCCGGUUUAAGCGUGUAGGUGUGUGUUCCAGGUAAAUCCGGUUCACUUUAACACUGAGGCGUGACGACGAGGCACUACGGUGCUGAAGCAACAAAUGCCCUGCUUCCAGGAAAAGCCUCUAAGCAUCAGGUAACAUCAAAUCGUACCCCAAACCGACACAGGUGGUCAGGUAGAGAAUACCAAGGCGCUUGAGAGAACUCGGGUGAAGGAACUAGGCAAAAUGGUGCCGUAACUUCGGGAGAAGGCACGCUGACACGUAGGUGAAGUGAUUUACUCAUGGAGCUGAAGUCAGUCGAAGAUACCAGCUGGCUGCAACUGUUUAUUAAAAACACAGCACUGUGCAAACACGAAAGUGGACGUAUACGGUGUGACGCCUGCCCGGUGCCGGAAGGUUAAUUGAUGGGGUCAGCGCAAGCGAAGCUCCUGAUCGAAGCCCCGGUAAACGGCGGCCGUAACUAUAACGGUCCUAAGGUAGCGAAAUUCCUUGUCGGGUAAGUUCCGACCUGCACGAAUGGCGUAAUGAUGGCCAGGCUGUCUCCACCCGAGACUCAGUGAAAUUGAACUCGCUGUGAAGAUGCAGUGUACCCGCGGCAAGACGGAAAGACCCCGUGAACCUUUACUAUAGCUUGACACUGAACAUUGAGCCUUGAUGUGUAGGAUAGGUGGGAGGCUUUGAAGUGUGGACGCCAGUCUGCAUGGAGCCGACCUUGAAAUACCACCCUUUAAUGUUUGAUGUUCUAACGUGGACCCGUAAUCCGGGUUGCGGACAGUGUCUGGUGGGUAGUUUGACUGGGGCGGUCUCCUCCUAAAGAGUAACGGAGGAGCACGAAGGUUGGCUAAUCCUGGUCGGACAUCAGGAGGUUAGUGCAAUGGCAUAAGCCAGCUUGACUGCGAGCGUGACGGCGCGAGCAGGUGCGAAAGCAGGUCAUAGUGAUCCGGUGGUUCUGAAUGGAAGGGCCAUCGCUCAACGGAUAAAAGGUACUCCGGGGAUAACAGGCUGAUACCGCCCAAGAGUUCAUAUCGACGGCGGUGUUUGGCACCUCGAUGUCGGCUCAUCACAUCCUGGGGCUGAAGUAGGUCCCAAGGGUAUGGCUGUUCGCCAUUUAAAGUGGUACGCGAGCUGGGUUUAGAACGUCGUGAGACAGUUCGGUCCCUAUCUGCCGUGGGCGCUGGAGAACUGAGGGGGGCUGCUCCUAGUACGAGAGGACCGGAGUGGACGCAUCACUGGUGUUCGGGUUGUCAUGCCAAUGGCACUGCCCGGUAGCUAAAUGCGGAAGAGAUAAGUGCUGAAAGCAUCUAAGCACGAAACUUGCCCCGAGAUGAGUUCUCCCUGAGACUUAGAGUCUCCUGAAGGAACGUUGAAGACGACGACGUUGAUAGGCCGGGUGUGUAAGCGCAGCGAUGCGUUGAGCUAACCGGUACUAAUGAACCGUGAGGCUUAACCUU
rnacentral:rRNA from 1 species